UUACGGCCACAUCACGUUGAAACACCGGUUCACGAACGAUCACCGAAGUUAAGCAACGUCGAGCACGGUCAGUACUUGGAUGCGUACACCGUUUGGAAAUA